rnacentral:rRNA from 1 species
AGUGAACGCUGGCGGUAGGCCUAACACAUGCAAGUCGAACGGCAGCACAGUAAGAGCUUGCUCUUACGGGUGGCGAGUGGCGGACGGGUGAGGAAUACAUCGGAAUCUACUUUUUCGUGGGGGAUAACGUAGGGAAACUUACGCUAAUACCGCAUACGACCUACGGGUGAAAGCAGGGGAUCUUCGGACCUUGCGCGAUUGAAUGAGCCGAUGUCGGAUUAGCUAGUUGGCGGGGUAAAGGCCCACCAAGGCGACGAUCCGUAGCUGGUCUGAGAGGAUGAUCAGCCACGCUGGAACGGAGACACGGUCCAGACUCCUACGGGAGGCAGCAGUGGGGAAUAUUGGACAAUGGGCGCAAGCCUGAUCCAGCCAUACCGCGUGGGUGAAGAAGGCCUUCGGGUUGUAAAGCCCUUUUGUUGGGAAAGAAAAGCAGCAGGUUAAUACCCCGCUGUUCUGACGGUACCCAAAGAAUAAGCACCGGCUAACUUCGUG